ACCACUACAGUCGGAUCGAACCGAUCAACGCCGCUUUUCAGCCUGUAUCCUGCGGAUAACAAAUAUAUCCGAUCGACGCCUUUCGGGCCAUCACUUCCGAGGGAUUUCCAGACGAAGACCCGGCGACAGGCCGUCUCCUUCGCGGUGUCGGCAGAAUUUUUUUGGAGACGAAGCUACUUGCUUCUGUGACGAUGACAUCGGACCUCUGGCUUCUAUGCUUUAAAAAGGUUGUCAGGAUGAAGUUUUUGGGACACUCUCCUUUGGACAGGUUCGAAUGAGCGGGGAUCUUCCUGGGGAACCCGGGAGGCCACUGGGGUGGCUGACUUCGCUAGGCGCAAUCGGGGAUGAGUCUGCCGUCUUUUCCGGGUGGAGGCUCCCCUUUUGGGCGUCCGGGAGAGGCGCUCCGCCUUCGUACCUACACACAGGUCGGGUCGAAAGAGCUCGGCCCGACCCCUCCGACGAUCAAGUUAGUGAAUAGUCAUAGGGGGUUUUUGUUGUCUCCUCCUCCUUUUCCUCGGAGCGCGAGGGUUUUUAUAGUGAAGGUUACCGUUGUCUGAUGUGCCAGCUUGCAGGGAGCAGGAUCGUACUCCUGAUAACGUCUGACAUCGACGUUGGCGUAGCAUGAAGGACCGAACCUGAGCAGGAUGUUAAUGUGCCUCAGUCGGCAUUUCGAUCCGUGUUGACCAGGUGCUGUCAGGUUAACAGAGGCGCGAGGCGUCAUCUGGGACAGUUGACGUCAACCCGAGUCUUAUCGCCAUUAUUGUCCUCAUCAGAUAGCAAAGUCUCGAGGGUGAUCUUGAUUAUGAUUAUUUCUGGACGAACAAAUCGACUGUGAAAAAGUGAUGCUUUCAAGAGGUUUGCAGGUCUGACUUUUGAGAUGCACAGAUUUGUGAGCUAAAUCCAUGAAGUUGCGAAGCAAAUCCGUAUGAUAUCGUAGAAUUUGGACUGAACACAAAGUUUAUCUUAAUCAUUUUCACUAAAGGAACCAAAUACUUAUAA